rnacentral:rRNA from 1 species
AACGAACGCUGGCGGCAUGCCUAACACAUGCAAGUCGAACGAAGGCUUCGGCCUUAGUGGCGCACGGGUGCGUAACGCGUGGGAAUCUGCCCUUUGCUUCGGAAUAACAGUUAGAAAUGACUGCUAAUACCGGAUGAUGUCGCAAGACCAAAGAUUUAUCGGCAAAGGAUGAGCCCGCGUAGGAUUAGCUAGUUGGUGGGGUAAAGGCCUACCAAGGCGACGAUCCUUAGCUGGUCUGAGAGGAUGAUCAGCCACACUGGGACUGAGACACGGCCCAGACGGCUACGGGGGGCAGCAGGGGGGAAGAGGGCAAAAUGGGUGGAAGCCGGAGGCAGCAGGGACGAGGGCGGGAUGAAGGCCGUCGGUUUUUAAACCGCUUGCGAUCAUGACGAAGCGGUGGGUGACGGUAGGGGGUAAAGAAGCAAGGGCUAGAGAAGGG